rnacentral:tRNA from 1 species
GCGGGGAUAGUUCAGUUGGGAGAACGUCAGACUGAAGAUCUGAAGGUCGUGCGUUCGAUCCGCACUCACCGCA